AUGAUGGCAACAUAUAGCAGAGCUUCGCACCGCUCCCUCUUGAACGGAAAACCAGUGGGCACAAUCGAAUCACACCCGGACCAGGAAUCUCCAGGCAUAACGCGCCCAUGGGAGUUCGCUGGCGGAGACUUUCGAAACUUGACACUCCAACCAGAUCAAGGAGGACAGGCAUCAGGCAGAUCUUCAUCUUGUCACUUGAGGUACCCAAGGAUUGCCGCCUUCAUUCAGGCUGAGCCCGCAGCGCCCACGCCAUCGGUUGGCACCCUGCAUAAUCUGCCAUACCAUAUAGACCAGCGACCAUGGGUCAGCAGCUGGACAGGCGGCGACAGCGCAGGGGCGACACUCCACCGGAUCCGUCCCUAA
rnacentral:rRNA from 1 species